rnacentral:rRNA from 1 species
UACGAGGGGGGCAAGUGUUGUUCGGAAUCACUGGGCGUAAAGGGAGCGUAGGCGGAAGCUUAAGUCGGGAGUUUAAACCCGGGGCCCAACCCCGGAGCGGCUCCCGAAACUGGGUUUCUUGAAUGGGACAGAGGCUGGUGGAAUUGGGGGUGUAGCGGUGGAAUGCGUAGAGAUCGGGAAGAACAUCAGUGGCGAAGGCGGUCUGCUGGGCCGUUGCUGACGCUGAGGCGCGACAGCGUGGGGAGCAAACAGG